rnacentral:tRNA from 10 species
CGGGGUGUGGCGCAGCUUGGUAGCGCGCGUCGUUCGGGACGACGAGGCCGCAGGUUCAAAUCCUGUCACCCCGACCG